rnacentral:lncRNA from 1 species
UGAUAUUAUCCCUCAGUAGCUGAAGUAGAUAAUAAGAUGUAAAAUCACUAUGUAAGAUCUAUCCAAGCAAAGCAUAGACUGCCUUAAAAUCUCUUAAGUUGCACAAGAAAAUGGAAAGAGUAAGAUAUAAUUGUUAUUGUAUUGUAAGCACAUCCUUUUAUGUCGGACACUUAAGUUUUAUUCUCAGGGUGCUUGGCAGGUAAUUUAAAACAAAAUUUCACCCACAUCCCUUUUCACUGCACUUGAAAGCUAUUCUAUCUCAGUCUGCUUUGUGGGCAUUCCAAAAGGAGCCUCCUAAUUUAAACAUUUAGAUCUUAGGAUAUAGUGGGAACUUAAGAACACAUCUGUUGUGGUUCUGACAAGUUUAGUGAAUACAUAGGUUUAUUUGGAAAUUCAGUGGGUGAUAUUGGUUCAAGUCUGGAUACUAGUAGUAUUUGGUAAUCCCAUGGGUGAUGCCAAGUCUACCUCAAAUGAUGACAGGUUUUAGCACAUUGCUGUCACAAAAUUAUUUCGUAAAUCGUAACAUAAGUUUUUGUUUUCUAGUUUCGUUAGAAGAAUUUUGUUACUGGACCACGGUGUUAAACUGCACUUUGUUCGGCUUUUGAACAUGCACAAUUGGUACUGUUCAGCUCAACAGCCCGUAUUCCCUGUUUCAUUGAUGAGGC